UGCUCUCUCACUAUCCAUUCGUCUCUCUCACUCUCUCCACAGCCGGUAAUCCCCGCGACGCAGGUGACGGUGAGGGGAUGGCGACAGAGUCCCAGCGAUCCCCGCGACGGAGGGGACAGCGAGGGGACGGCGGCGUCGGGUCUCUCCCGGCGAUCCCCACGACGGAGGGGCAGCGAGGGGACGGCGGCGUCGGGUCUCUCCCGACCAUCUAAUGGAGGGGAGGGGAAGGGGACGGACCGGCCUGCCCCGGCGAUCCCCGCGAGGGAGGGGAGGAGACGGCGGCCAUCCGACGGACGGGUGGGGAAGGCGAAGGGACCGGCCUGUCCCGGAGAUCCCCGCGAUGGAGGGAGGUGAAGGCGACGAAGGGGAGGGGACGGCGGGAAGCGCUUGUCGGGGCGGCUGAUUAGGGGAGGAGCGCCGGCGGCGACGUUUGAGAAGAGAAGCGGUUGUCCUCCUCCUCUAGCUCUUUCCUCUUUUCUUGAUUCCAAUUCCCAAAUUAGACAUUGCUCUGACAAGUUGUUUUCAGUGUGCACUUUGUCAAUUUAGUUACGCAUUGAGGAGCUGCUCAAAAACCUUUGCCAUUCAUUUGUUUGCAUUAAGUGAUGGCACCAGAAAGUUUGAAAUCGUGGUCUGUGAGAUACUAUUUCUCAAAAUGCAAACAAACGGAAUAAUUCACCACUCGCCAUUGGCAUGCUAAUGAUUUUACAAGAUGUUGGCUAGGCUGCUUUUUCUGUCGGCCACUGAAACUUCCGCUGCAUAUAACAUUACCCAAACCUGAAUAGCUCCUUAGGUUGUACCGAACAGUUCGCAGCUCACUCUGUUUAUUUCCCCCAUGUCCGGAGUUUGUCUUGCCAUCACAAAUCAUAUGAAUCUCUGAAUUUGUACUGCACACUAAUGAUCUAGUACUGCAUUUUCCAUGUAGCAAGAUCAUACAGAUCGCUAAGCUUGCACUUUUAAUAAGGCGGGUGUACCUUUUGGUAGCUUCAUACUACUCCAAGAUGGUUCAACACUAAUUCAGAUAGCUAUUUAGUUUUUUAGAUUUUACAGAGGAACUGAUUUGUCGUGAGUCUAGUUACUUUGGAAUUGUAGACAUCGUUUAUAUGCCUGCUAGUUCUCAACUUCUCAUCUCAACUUUUUUAAUAGACAUAGGCCAUUCUGGGCAUGCGCCACCCUGAUUUUUGUUGCUGCAUCCAUUGCCACAUUUGUCACGGGCCAAGCAGUACAGGCAAGAUACGUUCGAACCAUACGACGUUUUGUGGAAUGGUAUUGUUGGCACUUUGGGCUACCUUGAUGUUGGCCAGAAGGGCUUGGAUGAAGAUAGGUUGUAUUAUUCAUGUUUUCUGGUGAUUUGGAAGUGCUGGUAUGCAUGUAUAAGAUGCCUAGUUUGUAACACGAAAGCAAAGAAAAUCAGGCUUCUUCUAUGAGUAAAACCAUCAGGUUUCAUUGACGAGUAGAUCCAUCAGGCUUCUUGCAUGACAAAAAUUCCUUUGCCAGACGGGAUUUGAACAAGAGCAAGCAUAACACAGCUAGCUACUACUCUGACUAGAUUGGAUACUCAUCAAGACUCACUGUCCCAGAUUUUGCACCUUACAAGGCAUCCUUUGAGGAUAUGCUAUUUCUUUGAUCUUUCUAAUCCUCUUACAUGGCUUGGUCCAGAAUGCUUCUAUCUAAAAGAAGCUUAUGUAACAUGGUAUUUCCACGAUGUUGGGAACUGAUAUUCGUUCUGACGACCUGAAAGUUCAGUUAUUAUCACAUAGUAUUAUAAGUCCCGUU